rnacentral:lncRNA from 1 species
GGAUGGUGUGCCUUCUGGAGUCUCGUAUCACUCCGGCUCUGCUUCCAUCUUUGCGUCUCCUCUCUGACUCUGACCUUCCUGCUUCCUUCUCAGGACCUUUGUGAUUACAUGCCUCAUCCAGGCUCCACUCCUCCUCUCAAGAGCCUUAAUUUAAGCCCAUCUAUAAAGUGUCUUUGACCCUGUAAGGUCACAUAGCCACAGGUUCCAGGGGUUAGGAUGUGGACAUCUCUGUGGGGCUGUUCAACUGCCACACCAGCUCUUCAACCCAUAUGGGUCAUUUCUAUCCUCCAACCACCCUGGGAGUACUGUGCUCCCCACGCUCUUCACGUGGAAGCUGAGGCCCAGACGGGGGUGGGGAAUUGCAGAGAACGAGGAGAGCAGCUCCUGUCCCAGCUCUGCUUCUCACGCAGGCCUUUGGGGUGGGGCCUCAGUUUCCCCACCUGUACACAAGGACAACACUCCUCCUGCCCCCCUCCCAGCUCCCUGGGCCUCAAGGACGGCAAGGACGUGCAGUGGAUGAGGGGCAGCAGUGGGAACGGACACUGCCCUUAAGCUGGCAAGACAGGCCCAGGCCUGGUCUACAAACCCAGCCAGCUCCUGAUCACCAUCCUUAGGGUCACUGCGGUGCUGGGGUGGCCAAGCCAAGAUCCAGUCCUGGGCAGUCUGACCGAAGAGCUUCCAUACUGCAUGGCCCGGCUGCUCUGCCCCUCAGGAAGGAGCGGGGACAGGAGGCUGGGUCUAAGGUGCAGAGAAUGAUCUCAUCUUGUCAUUUGUAAAAUUAAAUUGUUCUGUAGCUUGGCUGAGAAGGACCAGGGAGGGAAGGGGUGAUUCAAGCAAGGACAGAGUCCAGGCAGGGCCCCAGGCCCCAGGGUGGGAGAAAUGCGAGCCUGAGGUAGAUAGGGGGUGGACAGUAGGUGGCAUGGUUCAGGGCUUCACCAGGGCCAGGCCCUCCCCUUACCCAGAGGAGGCAGUGAUGGGGGCCAGUCUGGGAAGGCCAGGGAGGAGAUGGAGUCAAGGUUGACUCCUUGAGUCUGGGGGUGAGGGCAGAUGGCAGAAGGCCUGGAAGCCCGGAGGGGAGCUGCCAGAGGCCAGCCUAGCUCCUUGGUCGUCCAGUGGCUGGAGAGGGGCUGUCCGUCAGCCCUGCUCUGCCCGGGUCUGGCUGGUGACAAAGGAGGGGAGCACUCCAUGCGGCCUGCGAGGGAGGGGUGGAGCCUCCCCGCAGCUCCUUCCCCCAGGAAUGGGGACGAGUUAGGGGCGGGCGAGGUUUUGGGAUUCAGGAGUCAGCAAGACGGACUUGGCUCUCGCCAGGGACAGGUGGGGUCCUGAGGGGCCGUCGCUCAGCUGCACCCACAGAGGGGUCGGCGGCGCGGCAAGUUAGGCUGCGGGGCGCCGGGAGAAGGGGCUGCGGGUGACGGGUGCGCUGGGACGGACCUGGGGAGCUCGUCGUGAGGAAGAAAGAACCACUCUAGGGCCAGGCCCAGUGGCUCAAGCCUGUAAUCCCAGCACUUUGGGAGGCCGAGGCGGGCGGAUCACGAGGUCAGGAAAUCGAGACCAUCCUGGCUAACACGGUGAAACCCAGUCUCUAUUAAAAUACAAAAAAAUCAGCCGGGCGU